GUGGGGAAUAUUGGACAAUGGGGGGAACCCUGAUCCAGCCAUGCCGCGUGUGUGAAGAAGGCCUUUUGGUUGUAAAGCACUUUAAGCGAGGAGGAGGCUACCGAGAUUAAUACUCUUGGAUAGUGGACGUUACUCGCAGAAUAAGCACCGGCUAACUCUGUGCCAGCAGCCGCGGUAAUACAGAGGGUGCAAGCGUUAAUCGGAUUUACUGGGCGUAAAGCGCGCGUAGGUGGCCAAUUAAGUCAAAUGUGAAGUCCCCGAGCUUAACUUGGGAAUUGCAUUCGAUACUGGUUGGCUAGAGUAUGGGAGAGGAUGGUAGAAUUCCAGGUGUAGCGGUGAAAUGCGUAGAGAUCUGGAGGAAUACCGAUGGCGAAGGCAGCCAUCUGGCCUAAUACUGACACUGAGGUGCGAAAGCAUGGGGAGCAAACAGGAUUAGAUACCCCAGUAGUCC
rnacentral:rRNA from 1 species